rnacentral:sRNA from 1 species
UUCUCUGCAAGAUUGUUUUUGCUCUCUGGCAGAAAUCUCCAUGGUUGUAACUGACACCACUUAGCUGCUCAGGUUGGUGCCGCAAACCUCACAGCUCUCAGAGAUCACAUAUGGACCUCAAACCCUCGAUCAUUGUUUUUGACCAGGACGUGCAUGCAACUCUUGUUGAUGUUGAGAGCAUGACUUGCUACCUAUUCCUCGCUCACCCCGGAAAGGCAAUUUUGAAGAACUCCCUUCUCACCAGACCGUUUCAAACCGCGUGCAGCAGAAUGAUAUGUAGGCAUACGGGAAACUACUCGAGAUCGCAGGGGGCAAAUAUGGAAACCCGUUCAAAUACAGCAUCGCGAGAAACAGUGCAUAAAGUUCA